CACGGAGUUAGCCGAUCCUUAUUCUUACGGUACCGUCAAGCUCCUUCACGAAGGAGUGUUUCUUCCCGUACAAAAGCAGUUUACAAUCCAUAGGACCGUCAUCCUGCACGCGGCAUGGCUGGUUCAGGCUUGCGCCCAUUGACCAAUAUUCCUCACUGCUGCCUCCCGUAGGAGUCUGGUCCGUGUCUCAGUACCAGUGUGGGGGAUCUCCCUCUCAGGACCCCUACCCAUCAUCGUCUUGGUGUGCCGUUACCACACCAACUAACUAAUGGGGCGCAUGCUCAUCUCUCACCGAUAAAUCUUUAAUAACAAGGUGAUGCCACCCGAAAUACCAUGGGGUAUUAAUCCGGAUUUCUCCGGGCUAUCCCCCAGUCGAGAGGCAGAUUGCAUACGCGUUACGCACCCGUGCGCCGGUCUCAAGGAGCAAGCUUCCUCUACCCCUCGACUUGCAUGUGUUAAGCCUGCCGCUAGCGUUCAUCCUGAGCCAGGAUCAAACUUCC
rnacentral:rRNA from 1 species